ACGGGAGGCAGCAGUAGGGAAUCUUCCACAAUGGGCGAAAGCCUGAUGGAGCAACGCCGCGUGAGUGAAGAAGGAUUUCAGUUCGUAAAACUCUGUUGUAAGGGAAGAACAAGUACAGUAGUAACUGGCUGUACCUUGACGGUACCUUAUUAGAAAGCCACGGCUAACUACGUGCCAGCAGCCGCGGUAAUACGUAGGUGGCAAGCGUUGUCCGGAAUUAUUGGGCGUAAAGCGCGCGCAGGUGGUUUCUUAAGUCUGAUGUGAAAGCCCACGGCUCAACCGUGGAGGGUCAUUGGAAACUGGGAGACUUGAGUGCAGAAGAGGAUAGUGGAAUUCCAAGUGUAGCGGUGAAAUGCGUAGAGAUUUGGAGGAACACCAGUGGCGAAGGCGACUAUCUGGUCUGUAACUGACACUGAGGCGCGAAAGCGUGGGGAGCAAACAGGAUUAGAUACCCUGGUAGUCCACGCCGUAAACGAUGAGUGCUAAGUGUUAGGGGGUUUCCGCCCCUUAGUGCUGCAGCUAACGCAUUAAGCACUCCGCCUGGGGAGUACGGUCGCAAGACUGAAACUCAAAG
rnacentral:rRNA from 1 species